rnacentral:pre_miRNA from 1 species
AGAGAGAGAAAGCAUGAGUGGUCGGAGCUUUGUCUCUUUCUAACGAUUACCACCAUUACCAUCGUUAGAGAGAGACAAAGCUCCGACCACUCAUGCUUUCUCUCUCUAGU